rnacentral:rRNA from 1 species
GAACGCCUGGCGGCGUGCCUAACACAUGCAAGUCGAACGGAGAAUUUCGAAGAGUUUACUCAGAGAGAUUUUUAGUGGCGGACGGGUGAGUAACGCGUGGGUAACCUACCCAUAAAACCGGGACAACCCUUGGAAACGAGGGCUAAUACCGGAUAAUCUUGAGAGUUGGCAUCAACACUUAAGGAAGGGUGGCCUCUGAAUAUGCUACCGAUUAUGGAUGGACCCGCGUCUGAUUAGCUAGUUGGUGGGGUAAAGGCCUACCAAGGCGACGAUCAGUAGCCGGCCUGAGAGGGUGAACGGCCACACUGGGACUGAGACACGGCCCAGACUCCUACGGGAGGCAGCAGUGGGAAUCUUCCGCAAUGGACGAAAGUCUGACGGAGCAACGCCGCGUGUAUGAUGAAGGUCUUCGGAUUGUAAAGUACUGUCUUUGGGGAAGAACGGUCGAUUUGAGAAUAUCGAGUUGACAUGACGGUACCCAAGGAGGAAGCCCCGGCUAACUACGUGCCAGCAGCCGCGGUAAUAC